rnacentral:ncRNA from 1 species
UUAUAUAGGCAAAUUUUAAGAAAGUAAAAGACGCAAAGCCACGGACCUAAAACAAAGCUUUUUUGUCAUGGUAGCCGGGUUGCCA